rnacentral:rRNA from 1 species
GACGAACGCUGGCGGCGUGCUUAACACAUGCAAGUCGAACGGAAAGGCCCUGCUUGCAGGGUACUCGAGUGGCGAACGGGUGAGUAACACGUGGGUGAUCUGCCCUGCACUUCGGGAUAAGCCUGGGCAACUGGGUCUAAUACCUGAUAGGAGCCAUUAUUAGUGUGAUGGUUGGAAAGUUUUUUCGGUGUAGGGUGAGCUCGCGGCCUAUCAGCUUGUUGGUGAGGUGAUGGCCUACCAAGGCGGCGACGGGUAGCCGGCCUGAGAGGGUGGACGGCCACAUUGGGACUGAGAGACGGCCCAGACGCCUACGGGAGGCAGCAGUGGGGAAGAUUGCACAAGGGGCGCAAGCCUGAUGCAGCGACGCCGCGGGGGGGAUGACGGCCUUCGGGUUGUAAACGCCUUGCGCUAGGGACGAAGCUUUUUGUGACGGUACCUAGAGAAGAAGCACCGGCUAACUACGUG